GUUUGGGUUCCUCUUCUGAGGGACCAACUCGUGCCCCUCUCAGGAAAGUAGCAGCUUGGAAUAGAAUAUGGCCUGCCCAAGAUGGCCUUGGGUGAAAGGAAUGCUCUUCUCCUUUUGCCCUCCUUUGGCAGCCUACAUAG